UGGUGAGCAGGACAAAGUGGAUCCUUCAGAGUUCCCAUCCGUGUUUGUGUCUCAGCCUGUGUUAGGAUUCAGGGCUGUAGCUGUUGUUGUCACUGAGGAGUCAAACUCUGCUUUAAAUAAUGAGACACUGGCCUGAUGGCCCAGUGUCAAGAAUAAAGGGGGAAUGAUAUCUGAGUGUUGAGAUGUAACAAGGGCUGAUCCUUUUUGCAGUGGGAUGUAGCCUGGAAAGUGCACAGAGCUGAGCCAAGGGAUUGAAAGGGACCAAGGAAGGGAGGUGAAGAAAGAAGGAAGAAGGGAAGUGAGGCAGCAGCCAAGCAGCAGCAAGUUGCUGUGUAAGCAGGCAGAAGAGCCCAGGCCUGAGCUGGCUGAGUGUUGGUGUGAGCCAGAGUGGGUGUCCCUGCCCUCGGGCCAGUCCCCAGAGCUGCCUUUGGCAUCCCCUGCUGAAGGGUGGGAGCUGCCCAGAGCCAGCAGCAUCCAGCUGGAGGAUCCAGGAGGAUGCAGCUCUGCUUUGCUGGGAGCUUGUCCAGGAGAUGGAAUUCCAGUGCUACAGUCUGGGUGGGUCAUGGUGCUCCCAAAAGGAGCCUCUGUGCCUUCAGGACAAGUUUUGGUGCCACUGGAGCUGCUGGGAGAAGCAUGGGGUUGGCAGUGAGAGGCCUGGAAUGAUGUUGCUGUGGCACAGAAGAAAUGAGCAGUGAUGGUACAAUUGGCUAUUUUGUCUUGAAUGUAAUGGUAAGAGCUGCAGGAGUGCCAGGUGUGUGUUCCAUUCCCCACCAUUUGGUUUGCACAUGUCCUGGUCAGACACAGGUCCAACUUCCUCAGUCCUUAACACAAUAGAGGGAGAAUUAAGGACUGGCAGUGUUAAGGUGAUUGGUGUGACAGGGGUUAAACUGGGAAAACAUUGGGGAAUUUCUCAGUUUUUCUGUUUGCCAAACUCACCCAAACCUGUGCUAGGAAGAGAUGGACUGGAAAAGUUGAGGCAGAAAUGAAAUGGAAAA